GACGAACGCUGGCGGCGUGCUUAACACAUGCAAGUCGAACGGAAAGGCCCUGCUUUUGUGGGGUGCUCGAGUGGCGAACGGGUGAGUAACACGUGAGUAACCUGCCCUUGACUUUGGGAUAACUUCAGGAAACUGGGGCUAAUACCGGAUAGGAGCUCCUGCUGCAUGGUGGGGGUUGGAAAGUUUCGGCGGCUGGGGAUGGACUCGCGGCUUAUCAGCUUGUUGGUGGGGUAGUGGCUUACCAAGGCUUUGACGGGUAGCCGGCCUGAGAGGGUGACCGGCCACAUUGGGACUGAGAUACGGCCCAGACUCCUACGGGAGGCAGCAGUGGGGAAUAUUGCACAAUGGGCGGAAGCCUGAUGCAGCAACGCCGCGUGCGGGAUGACGGCCUUCGGGUUGUAACCCGCUUUCGCCUGUGACGAAGCGUGAGUGACGGUAAUGGGUAAAGAAGCACCGGCUAACUACGUG
rnacentral:rRNA from 1 species